CUCACACCAAAUUUAAUAGCCAUGGCAUACAAGAAAGUAGUGCUUGGUCUCUUUACCCUGGCCUUGUUCCUCGUGGCACAUUAUGUGGAGGCGGUGGAUGUGUGCACGACGAGGAACUGGUAUUUCUAUGGCCCGUGCAUGAGCAACAAGAAUUGCGCGGCUUCGUGCAUCCAACAUGGCAUUGGCGGCGGUGGCUACUGCUCCCCCUGGAGACGAUGCAAAUGUACACUUCAGUGUCCUUGGAGAAAAAUGACGCUAGCCGGGAUCGGGUUGACACAUGGCCGGGACAAGCCGGAACCCUUGGACAAACCUAGCAUGGAACUAUUCAACUGAGUGUUGCAUAUAUCUAUAUGAAGUUCACCGAUGGAAUUGAAUAAGAGAAUAACACCUGUAGUUAUGAUGUUGUAAGCAAUAAUUGCGCAAAAAUAAUUUAGAAACGAUGAACCAACCUGGCAGUAUUAUUUU